rnacentral:rRNA from 1 species
AGAGCGAACGCUGGCGGCAGGCCUAAAACAUGCAAGUCGAACGGAUCCUUCGGGAUUAGUGGCGGACGGGUGAGUAACACGUGGGAACGUGCCUUUUGGUUCGGAACAACUCAGGGAAACUUGAGCUAAUACCGGAUGUGCCCUUCGGGGGAAAGAUUUAUCGCCAUUAGAGCGGCCCGCGUCUGAUUAGCUUGUUGGUGGGGUAAAGCCUACAAGGCUACGAUCAGUAGCUGGUCUGAGAGGAUGAUCAGCCACACGUGGGACUGAGACACGGCCCAGACUCCGUACGGGAGCAGCAGUUAGGAAUCUUGCGACAAGUCGGGGGAAACCCUGGACCGCAGCCAUGCCGCGUGAAUGA